CCUUGGCCCUCUGCCAUGUAAGCAUGGCCAUCUAUGAACCAGGAAGCAGGCCCUCACCAGACACUGAUUCUCCCACAUGUCGUGAUCUUGGACUUCCCAGAAGGGACCACUCUCAACUUUCUGGACACAGAAGGCACUUCAUUGUCCGCCUGAUUUGCCCUCUCUCAUUCUCAGGAUGGAAGACCUCUCUAGCCAAUGGGAAGAUGGCAAGAUGUGUGAAUGUACCCCUGGGAGCAAAAUCACAGAGCCUGUGUAAUCCUCUAUACAUGUAGGGACUGAGUGUGGGUAUCUCUGGCCAGUGUGGAUGUUGACCACGUUGUUUCGUAACCCUGCCUCACUUGCUCCUCUCUCCCCAACCUCCAGAACUGCCUAUCUAACUCAUCUGUGGUGAUGGAAUGCUAUUUCUUUCACAUUACCCUGAUUAAGUAUCAUUAGAAAGGUAACUGCUGUGCUUAAAACAAAUAAAUCACCUAACACA
rnacentral:lncRNA from 1 species